GCGGAAGCCGCGCCGAGGCUCGUGUCAGUGGAAGCUGGGGUGUCGGCAGGCGGCAGCGGCGGGGUCUAGCGGUGGCUGCGGAAGGAGGAGGUGGAGGAGGGCUGGCGAUGAGAACCAGCAGGAGGAAUCAAGGACAAGAAGGGACCCAGAGGGGCAGGUGGCUGAGAUGCUGGCGUCCAGGUGACCCGAGGAAUCCUCUGGAGAUAGAGGCCCGCGCAUGCGCGUGCUCGAGCGCUGAAGCCCAUGGCCCGCAGGGCGCUGGACGGGCGCCCCGGCCGGCGAGGCUGUCCCGUCCAGGCUCCAGGCCCCGGCUCUGGCCAGGCGCCGCCGCUCCCCGGUGCAGCUGAAAGUCGACGAAGAGGGCGGGGCGAGGGCGGCUUGUGGACUUCCACACUUUUCCUCUCUUCGGGCCAGUCCGGGGAGAGGGUGGCUAGCUGUGGCGGCGGCCAAUUACGUGGCGGACCUGCGGGGCUCAGCUGGCACGUCACUUCCGACUAGUGGAGUUUUAGCCUUUUAACAUUCAAGGAUUAGAGCUCCCUCUUUGCCCACUAGCAGGGCAAUAGCUGGUGCUGAAAACAGUGGCUGCUUGGCAAGCCUGGAUCUCCAAGUGACUCCAAGUGACCCCCUCAGCAACUCCUGAUGAACAGGACUGAAACCAAUAAUAAGGCAAGUCGACCAAAGGUUCUGUGGUGUAGACAAGACAACAAAAGGACAGACUACCUGUGGAACCUAGCAUUGUUCUUCUGCAGCACUACGUAACAUUUGUACUCCGUAAGAUCUUUGCAAACCACACACAAGAAUUGCUGGUCAUCCUGCCAAUAGAUGCUGCUCACAGAACCAAAUUUCCUGUGCUGGAUUGUCACUCAUGGGCUUGAGAGUAGGAGACUGGAGACCAAGGUGGCUAGAAUCCAGUUGUGCCUGACGUCUCCCUGUUGAAAGAGCUCCUUGUGGAAUGGACAGCACAUGGCUCCCGUAGUGGAUCUGAUAGUGGUACAGCACCAAGUGAUGCAGGCCUGCCUGGGCCACGGCCACAGAAGAUGCUCCCAGGCUCCCCCGUGUACUCCAGACACACUGCAGGCCACCCCUCCCAGCAGGUUCCUAGUCAUGGGCCCCAUCAUCAUGACUUCUGUCCAGAGUGUGCUCAGAAAUCUCUUCCUUAACACCUGUGACGUUCUGACAGGUAGAGGAUGUGGUCAGGAAUGGGAAAAGGAUUCAAGACGGGAAGAGGGAGGGGUUCAGGAUGAAGAGAGAUAAUCUGUGCCAUAGGUGCUGGCCCUGCAGUUACCUCCCACCUAGUCCAUGCACACACAUUCUAAUCCCCUCCCAUUCCUCUACAUGCUGCGGCCAGAGAGGCCUUUCUCAAAGUGGAAGUCUCAUCCUCACUUCUCUGGUUACAGUGCUGGGCCGUGAAUGACUUAAAAGGCUAAGCAGGAACUGUCUGCACACUCCCCGCUCCUGCCUGCUACCUUGUUUCCCUCCAGUCGCGAGAGCAAACAUUGAUUGAGCAUUAACAAUGUGCCAGGCUUGUCCUAAGUCCUUCAUAUGUAUUCACUCAAACAAUCCUCACAACAUUCCUGUCACAUCUCCUGUUUCACAGUGAGGGUUCUAAAGCAUGCAGUGGGUGAGAAACUUGUCCAGGGUCACACAACUAAGUGGGGGUGGAGAAACAUCAAAUCUAGGUGGUCCAGGUGGUGGCCAGAACCCAUCAGCACCUCACUACAGCUGCCUCCAGCUUCUCCCUCUGGGAAAUACUCUUCCCUGUUAACUCCUGUUGUUCUCUGGGCUCAGUUGACAUGUCAUCUCCUCAAGGAGGACAUCCUGAGAUGCUUCCCGACUAGGGUGGGCACCAACUUCCACACUCCAAAUGCAUGUCUAUUUGACGUGUGUAUUGCUGCAUCCCCACUGCAUGGCAGAUAGCAGGCCCCUAAUAAGUAUGAUUUGAGCAAAUAAAUAUAGUUAUUCAAAAAAUAGGGAGGACUUCUUGCUUCUAGUAAUGGUGGGCUAGGACAUUUGGACCAACCCUCCUGCAGAAAAUAGCCAUUUAUUUUGAUGCAAUAUACCUGGCUACGACUAUAGAGAUUUCAAAUAUUUGGAGGGCUAUUAUGUGAAGAUUUAUACUUACUCUUGGUGACAUAGAGGUUAGAAAUCGGUCGUUUCCAUAGAGUAUGAGAGACACAGAAUUGUGCUCAUCAUAAGGAUCUUUUUUAAAAAUUAGACUUAAUAAAAUGGGCUGCUUUGGUAGGUGGUGAGUUGUCUGUCACGAAAGAGAUUCAGCCACUUGCUCUGAGAAAGCUGGAGAAUAUCGACAUUGCAAGGGUCGACCACCUCAUCUCUUGAGGCCCCCGCCUCGCUUAGGUUGCCAUUGUACGUGGAACACUGGGCUGAGUGUCAGAGAACUUGGGUUCCACAAGCUAUGCGAUCAUGGCUGGUUAUUUUUGGAUCUAUUCCUAAUAUCUGUUAGUUAAGCUGACCCAUCAGUACUGACCCACUUCACAGAGUUACGAAGGGAUUAAAUUUGGUAUUACAUAUAAAUUUUUAUUUUGUUUGCUUUUUGUUGUUUUUUGUUUUGCUUUUUUCUUUGGAUUAUGAAAUCCCAAGUCAACUUUUUCCAUUCUUUUAUUUCUUAAAAAAUUGACGUCAUCAUAACAAAAUAAUUAAAAAAAAAAAAAAAAACCCUGCAACCCCACUAUCUAAUACAAUAAUCAUACUUUUUUCUCUCUAUUCUCUUUUAUUGUGACCAAGGAUGACUUCGGGCAUUGAUGUGAGGAACUAUUUCGUUUAACACCCUGCUAUCUGAACAUGAUUCACACUCAGCCUUUCACCACCCCCCAAGUAGCUACACAUGACAUGAUAAUAGUAUUGGUGGUGGUUUUAGAGAGUUGGAGAGAAAACUGAAGUUGGAUUUGGGUAAAAGAAAAAAGAGUGGGCAUUAUGUUUUCUCCAUUCUAAAGCCCAUGGAGCAAUGUUAAUUGUUCCCACCCCUCUGCUAUUCUGUCUCUUCAGGUACUGUGUGCAGAAAUGUGAUUGAGAUUCAAGUCAGGGCCUCUGCCCUUUUCCCUCCAGAAACAAAACCAAGAUAAUUUAUCCUGAACACACAUGGUGAAAAAAGGAAGGAAGGGAGCGGGGAGAAAAAGUCCAGGUCUUACCUGGGAUUCUCUGUCUCCUGCAACAUGAAGGGUUUAGCCUGGGAGGAGGUGGUGAGAACUCUGGGAGAGAAAAAAGAAGGAAAGAAUAGUUUUACCCAUGCUGAAGUUAAAACUUUACCUAGAGAAGCAAAACAAACAAACAAAAAAACACUGUUCCAUUUUGUGCCUCCCUUCCUAGAGUUUUGGCCAAAGGUUUAACUAAGUAAUUGGUUUUACCAGGGCACUCACUCCUCUUAUCCCGAGUCUGUUUGCCUCCCUCCCCAUCAUCCUUCUCACCUCUUUCAGGCAGGGUGGGGAUAGCAGCAGGAGGAGAUUCUGGGAGCUUGGCAACUCCUGUAAGGACCGCAGGACAGCCCCUCUGUGGGGAUGCAUGGUGCUCCAUCUGCCGUCCUUCUGAGAAGAAGAAUGCACUGCUUUCACUUUACUGUGUUAGAGUCCAUCCAGACGGUUCUAUCCAAAGAAUAGUUUCUUUUUUCCCCUACAGGCAAUCAGGAAAUGAUUCCUUUCCCGACUACUUUUGUCUAGUGCCUGGGAAUCUUGAGUCAAUCCCUCAGUAAGUCAGUGACUAAGGAAAUCUCCCCUCUCUGAGCCUCCCAGUUCAUGUUGCUUAGGGAACCUGAUAUUUUCAUGAAAUCUGCCUACACAUGGGCAGCCCAACAGCAGAGCUAAUGGUGGUGACCAAAGUGAACAAAGAAGUACAGUUGUGCCAGUUUCCUAGUUGCCCAUGUGGACAAGUCAGCAGGAUCAGGACACGAGGAAGAGUAAAUGUGAGACAGUCAUGUGACUUCUGCGAUAAUAUUCUAGAUUUUUAAACCCUGAAAUUUUGCUAAAAUUUUGGUGAAACCCUGAACUUUCUUCAUUGCAUAUACUGGCCCUAUCUGUACCGUCAUACAGCUAUCUCACAUUAAAGCUAUUUUUCUUGAGCACUGAUGAGUAAGGUUGGUAUGUUUGAGUUCCUCAGAUCAACAAAAACCCAUUUUCCUGUAAGUCUUAUGUUUAGUAUUUAAGGAACUAAAACUUAAAUACAUUGUGUGAAAUGGUUGACACUUCACUGAUAAUGAUUUAUUGCUUGGAUUAAUAAAUUUUCCAAAAGUUGUCUUAUUAUGUAGAAUAUGGUUUGCAACCAGCAGAACCAUUAAUCUAUACUGUGAUAAAAUGCACUAUGUAUAAUUGUUUAAAAGCUUCUACUUAAUGAUGUAACAUGCGUAUUUAAUUACACAUUUGGCUAAACUGUAUACUAACAUCUGAUGGCGUUUUUCCAGUGUGUUGCUUUUUUCAAAUACUUUAUUGUACAAAGCUAUUCUUAAUAUUUUUCAAGUUUUUCUCUUUGAAUUUUGCUAAUGUUUUCCUUGAAUUAUGAGCACUGACAGAAUGUGCUUAGCACUUUUGGCUAUUCACACAGCUUUUGAGCAUGAUUUGCAUCCAGUAUUGACAUUGCUAGCAAUAAUAAGCCAUCUGUGAGUUUUGUCAAAAGUUAUUGGGGAUUUUUUAAAUUUUAGAAAUGCAAAUUAAUUGUUUCCUUGAACUAACUUAUGCAGUUGCAAAGGCAUUUCCAGUUGUUAUGCUUUUUGUACAAUAUCAGGUGUUCCAGAUUAUGAUUCAUUAUUAAUGUCAUUGCUUCCUUGUUCCCUCUGAGAUCCAGAAGAUUCAUGUUUACAAUAUUCAGAAACAAAAAGGUAUCCAAAGCUUGUCACUUUAUUACUACUGUUCCUAAUAUUCUGUUUAAGUUUUUGAAUUCAUAGAUAUCAAAACACUGCACAAUUAUGAUUUUCACAGGAAUAACAACACACCAACAAUAAGAACAAAAGAAAAGCAAAUAGGCUAUCUAAAUUUUUGACAAUAUUAGGAUAAUGAUAAAUUGACAGUUUUUCUAAAUCUCACAGUAAAGAAUGUGCAGCAACCCAGCAACACUGCUACCUGUGACCUCAGGCUGCAGCGUCAGCUCUUCCCUGGAUCUCCAGCCUGCCAGUCUAACCUGAAAAUUAUGUACUUGCCAGCCCCUACAGUCAUGUGAGUGAACUGGCCCAGACUGGUCACCAGGUCAGUUUCUGUGUGUCAUUAAUUCACUCAAUGUUCAGCAGUCUCUUUGGAGCUGAGAUGUACCUAUCAUCUGCCUUUUGGGUGCUCAGGGUGGAGAACCAGAAAAGUAUAAUCUAGUGUGUAUCCUCAAAGAGCUAACAAUAUGGGGUGGUACCCAUAGGUCUGGGAACACUUUACUGACUCUGUGAGGCAUACCAAGAGACGUCAGAGACCAGUCCCUCCUCAAAUGCCAAAUGAAAUGCAGAGAAAUAGUUUGCUGAAGUUCAUAGGCCAGAUAUCCCAGUGGUCAGGGAGUUUCAUGAAUGAGAUGGAACUUUGCAUGGAACCUGAGGGAUGUGUACCAUUUGAGUGGAUGAAGAAAAUGAAAGACAUUCCAAGCAGCUAGAAGUUAGGAAGCAGCAGGGUGUGUGGUGGGAUUGAGCACAGUGGAUUCAGAGGAUAGACUGCAGUUCAAUAAUUUUUAGUAAAUAUCUCCCAACUGUUUGGCACUAUUGGAACAAGUUCUUGAAUGCCAAAUGAAGGUAUAAAUCAGUGAGAGGCAUAAUAAAAGCUGAGCAGUGCUUGGCUUUUUAUGAGCUGAUCCUGACAGGAACAGCUAUUCAACAAAAUUGCCAGGCCAUUGUUACAUAGUCCCUGCCUUCUAGGGGCUCACUGCCUACUAGGAGAGAGAGUCUGAAAGUUGGUGCAGCGUGUAACUGUUGGAUCAGGAGUUUUGAGCCUGUGAACUGUGGGACCCCAGAGGAGGGUGUGACUACUCUAGGCAGAACAAUUCCACAGUUUAUAUUUAACCUUGAAAUUCAUUAGAGGAUUUUUCAGCAGAGGGUUGGUACUUAAGGUUUGCAUUCUAUAGAACCUCAAGGAAAGCUGUACUGUGCAUAAUGUACCCUCUUGUUAAUGUUGUGUACUGUGAUCCUGUUUCAGGGAUUUGCACUUAGAAUCUGUUACACUGAGCAAAGAAGCAGACCUGUGGGCUCAGUCUUCACCCCCCGACCCAUAUAUACAAGAUGAACAGAGCUGUGGAGGUUAGACAACUUGCCCGAACAACACAGUUCAUGAGCCUCCCGGUGCACAGAUGAACUCUAGGGUUCUGGGCCCUGUGGAAAUCACACUGACCUGGUAACAUAAUGAAGAGGGACCAUAGAGCUUGUGGACACCAGGCCUGCAGGAGAUGGAACCUUCUAGAAGGGAGUGGCUGUGGUGGUGCCUUCUGGAGAAUAGCAAAGAUAAACAUGCCAUGUACAGCACGAGGGGCUCCUCACCCUGAGAUGGGGUAAGGAGAUGGAUGUAGGCAGAGAGCCACUUCUCAAGGAAAGGAGAGAAGGGGCCCUUCUGGAGAUUUUCAGCAGAGUUAGAGCUGAGGCUGGGGGGUCAGCACCCCUCACCCUAUCCUUCCUUUCUGAGAGCCAACUUCUGAGCCCACCAUCCCUAUCAGGGGAAUAUUUCCCAGCCACAAGUAACCACUGACCUGUAGUCACUGGCGUUGUGGUUGCUGGAGCUGUGAUCACUGGGGCUGUGGUUACAGGAGUUGUGUUCUGGAGGAACAAGAGUUCAGAUGCAGAAUGUUACUCUGGGUUUUCUUAUUCUCACCUACGGGUGCCUCACCCGAAGGGGUUAAACUUCUGCCCCUUUUCCUUCUGGAGCCCCUGUGGAGACUCCUCCUGUGCAGCAAAGCCUGGAAGGGGCCCCUGGCUAUGGAGGGGAGGUUGAGCAGCCACAGGUUUGGUCGGAAGAAGGAGACCUGGACUCCCAGAUCCUCAAUACCCAGGGAAAGUCAGUUCCUGUGGCUGCCCCUGACACUAGGACCUGGAUCUGAGUUAGCAUUUUUUCUGCUCCUCCAUGAACUUUCAGGCACAGGGCUACAUGAGGCUCAGGAACUCCCAGAGUCCUGGGGAAAUGGGUCUGUUUCUCAUGGGACACAAAUUCUCAGGUCCUUCUCUUUCAGAUUCCUAAGUUGCUUAUAAGAGAUUAAGUGGGAAUAAGCCAGUGCUUGAAAUGGCAAAUCUGAAGGGAGUGUGUAAUGUGCAUGUGUCUCUGUGUGUACAUGUAGAUGUAUAAGGUAUACGUAUCUGUAUGUAUGUAGAUUUGUAUCUAUGUGUGUGUUUAUAAGCAUGUAUGGGUUUUUGUAUGUGUAUGUGUCUGCACAUUGAUGUAUAGAAGCAUAGCAUGUGUGGGUGUGUUUGUGUGUAUUGCUCUGUGACUUCCUCAUACUGGCACCACCCUGGCCUUUUCUUGGUUGCCCCCACCCUGUGGGUUGUAAGGGGCAGAACAGCGCUCCACCUGCAGGCAUGGAAGAGGGGUCAGGAUAAGUGUUGGGGAGAGCUGGUCCUCUUCACACUUGGAAUAAGGAAACAGGAGCUAAAUGGAUGGGUCCCUCCCUUUUACAGAAUUCUGCAUUAAUAAAAGUGUCAGUCACUUUCCUAAGGGAUUUACAGGAAUUAAAUCAUUUAAACUUCAUAAGAGCCCCAUGACACAGGGACAACUGUCAACCCCAUUUUUCAGACAAGGAAACUGAGGUCAGUAGGAGAUUCGUUGACUCUCAGUGGGCUGAUUCAUGAUUCUAAGGAAACAGUCUGACUGCUGAGCCCAAGUAACCACGCUGUCCUGCUGACCCCCAUAUUUGUCCACUGGCCACCUAUGAGUCACCUCCAGUGGGCUCUGACCAGCUUCCCUUUCUUCUCCAGGCACAGAGACUGAACUGGAGUCUACUGCAUUUGCCACAGUCCUCAUGAGGGCAACUACAGGGAGCUGAGGGGCUUGAAGUUGAUAGUGGCAGGAGGCAAAUCCCUAGGCAGAUAAGGGCAGGUGCCCAGUGAAAUCGCACCUUCAAGCCAAAAACAGCCUGAAGCCUGAACACUGGGCUGCUUGUUCUGGAUGAAACCCACAACUCAAAGUGAGAAUUUCUGUUCCUGUUUGCCCACUCUUUCCCAAUUGGUUCUUUCUGAAUAAUGCUUUUAAGCCAAUUGAAUGAUGCCCUAUGCAGUGCUACCUGU